AGGAAGGAGGAACUUUUUUACUGACAAAUUAAUCCACUUUUUAUCAGACAUAUAAUCCCAAUAUUCAGAAUGAGAUAACUUAGUCUAGAUAUCAAAAUCAUACCACAAAGAUAUACAUUAAUGUAUGAGAUAACUUAGUCUAGAUAUUAAAAAAAAAUAAAAAAUAAAAAAAUCACAUAUAUGGAUAUAAAUCAGAAAGUAACAAUUGCACGAAAUAUGUGAAGAACUAAAGCCUACACUUGAAAUGAGAUUUGACAAUACAUCUAUUUUCGGUUUUUAUUUAUCUUUUUAAUUUUUAAAGAUGCUGGAUGUCUGGGAAUGCAAGAUACUAGAUACCAUCUUCCAGAGUUCUGAAGCUUUGAAUGCAUAGGUCAGAUUUUUAUUUUUAUUUUUAAAAAAAUUGAGAAAAUGAAGAAUGCCAAUAGAGUGUGUUCAGAAAUUGAAAGUAAAGAAAAAA